AGGAUGAACGCUGGCGGUCUGCUUAACACAUGCAAGUCGAACGGAGUAGCAAUACUUAGUGGCGGACGGGUGAGUAACGCGUGAGAAUCUACCUUCAGGACGGAGACAACAGUUGGAAACGACUGCUAACCCCCGAUGUACCGAAAGGGCAAAUAUUUAUAGCCUGAAGAAGAGCUCGCGUCCGAUUAGCUAGUUGGAGAGGUAAAAGCUCACCAAGGCGACGAUCGGUAGCUGGUCUGAGAGGACGAUCAGCCACACUGGGACUGAGACACGGCCCAGACUCCUACGGGAGGCAGCAGUGGGGAAUUUUCCGCAAUGGGCGAAAGCCUGACGGAGCAAGACCGCGUGGGGGAAGAAGGCUCUUGGGUUGUAAACCCCCUUUUCUCUGGGAAGAACGCAAUGACGGUACCAGAGGAAUCAGCAUCGGCUAACUCCGCGUCAGCAGCCGC
rnacentral:rRNA from 1 species